rnacentral:rRNA from 1 species
AUUGAACGCUGGCGGCAUGCCUUACACAUGCAAGUCGAACGGCAGCACGGGAGCAAUCCUGGUGGCGAGUGGCGAACGGGUGAGUAAUAUAUCGGAACGUGCCCAGUCGUGGGGAUAACGUAGCGAAAGCUACGCUAAUACCGCAUACGAUCUAUGGAUGAAAGCGGGGGAUCGCAAGACCUCGCGCGAUUGGAGCGGCCGAUAUCAGAUUAGGUAGUUGGUGAGGUAAAGGCUCACCAAGCCGACGAUCUGUAGCUGGUCUGAGAGGACGACCAGCCACACUGGGACUGAGACACGGCCCAGACUCCUACGGGAGGCAGCAGUGGGGAAUUUUGGACAAUGGGCGAAAGCCUGAUCCAGCAAUGCCGCGUGCAGGAAGAAGGCCUCGG